rnacentral:lncRNA from 1 species
UGAAGUCACAGGCCUGACUUCCAGACUAGGCUCUGCCCCUAAGGAAAUCACCUUUCUGGUCUUAGUCUCCCCAUCUGAAAAUGGCAUAACCAACCUACCUGCCUCAAAUACAAGACCCUGCUUGUGAAGCGUCUCCUGGCUCAGACCAGUGCUAGAAGUGUCCAGUCUAGCAGCUCCUGGACCAAGACUCCGUGGCCAUUCCCUUCCUCCUGCCUUCCAUCCACCCCCUUACGAUACAGAAGUUGAGAUACAGAGAGGUGAAGGAACUUGUCCCAGGCCCUACAGCUAGUCCUGAGUUCUUGACCAGCAUCCGUGAAGAAUGAGGUUACACAGACAACUGGAAGGUGAGCAAGGCAGAGAACAGCUUUAUCGGC